rnacentral:rRNA from 1 species
UACGUAGGGUGCAAGCGUUGUCCGGAAUUAUUGGGCGUAAAGAGCUCGUAGGCGGUUUGUCGCGUCUGCUGUGAAAACUGGAGGCUCAACCUCCAGCCUGCAGUGGGUACGGGCAGACUAGAGUGCGGUAGGGGAGAUUGGAAUUCCUGGUGUAGCGGUGGAAUGCGCAGAUAUCAGGAGGAACACCGAUGGCGAAGGCAGAUCUCUGGGCCGUAACUGACGCUGAGGAGCGGAAAGCAUGGGGAGCGAACAGG